rnacentral:sRNA from 1 species
CCAGUGAUGUCGUUAGGGUGAGCUGAUUUAUCAAUUGAAGCACCUUCAACCAUUAAGAAGAAACCUUUGUCGUUCUUUUGUAAACGAUCUAAAGCGAUUGAUUG